GAUGAACGCUGGCGGCGUGCUUAACACAUGCAAGUCGAACGAUGAAGCCCAGCUUGCUGGGUGGAUUAGUGGCGAACGGGUGAGUAACACGUGAGUAACCUGCCCUUAACUCUGGGAUAAGCCUGGGAAACUGGGUCUAAUACCGGAUAGGAGCGCCUACCGCAUGGUGGGUGUUGGAAAGAUUUAUCGGUUUUGGAUGGACUCGCGGCCUAUCAGCUUGUUGGUGAGGUAAUGGCUCACCAAGGCGACGACGGGUAGCCGGCCUGAGAGGGUGACCGGCCACACUGGGACUGAGACACGGCCCAGACUCCUACGGGAGGCAGCAGUGGGGAAUAUUGCACAAUGGGCGAAAGCCUGAUGCAGCGACGCCGCGUGAGGGAUGACGGCCUUCGGGUUGUAAACCUCUUUCAGUAGGGAAGAAGCGAAAGUGACGGUACCUGCAGAAGAAGCGCCGGCUAACUACGUG
rnacentral:rRNA from 1 species